rnacentral:rRNA from 1 species
UACGGAGGGGACUAGCGUUGUUCGGAAUUACUGGGCGUAAAGCGCACGUAGGCGGAUUUGUAAGUCAGGGGUGAAAUCCCGGGGCUCAACCCCGGAACUGCCUUUGAUACUGCGAAUCUCGAGUCCGGAAGAGGUGAGUAGAAUUCCUAGUGUAGAGGUGAAAUUCGUAGAUAUUAGGAAGAACACCAGUGGCGAAGGCGGCUCACUGGUCCGGUACUGACGCUGAGGUGCGAAAGCGUGGGGAGCAAACAGGG